UACGUAGGGUGCAAGCGUUGCCCGGAUUUACUGGGCGUAAAGGGCGCGUAGGCGGCAAUUCAAGUCAUCUGUGAAAUCUCCGGGCUUAACUCGGAACGGUCAGAUGAUACUGCUUUGCUAGAGUACAGAAGGGGCAAUCGGAAUUCUUGGUGUAGCGGUGAAAUGCGUAGAUAUCAAGAGGAACACCUGAGGUGAAGACGGGUUGCUGGGCUGAUACUGACGCUGAGGCGCGAAAGCUAGGGUAGCAAACGGG
rnacentral:rRNA from 1 species